UCGUUUAUGAGAUAAAUGCGUUUCUUUUCUCAAAAUCGGCAAUAAUGGAGAAAAUUGUUGCGCGUCCAAUUUGCUUGAUGAGAGCCUGAAUCGAGAAGUAUGUGACGUAACAUAAGGACAGGAAGUUUUUCUGAAGUGUGACUUUUGCUAUAAUUUCUACUUUAUUUACUACGGCUCUGCAUCAAAAUGCCUGAUAGAUGUGCAGUUUUCGUCUGUUCAAACCGAGCAAAUUCUGCGGAAAGAAUUUCUCUUCACCGUAUACCAUUUUACGGUGAUGAGCGUCCUGAAGCGAAGCGAAGACGUAAAAUCUGGGUGAAUUUUGUUGCAAGAAAACGCGCUCAAUGGACACCGACUAAGUAUUCGGCUGUUUAUUAUUGUGAUGGCAAGGAAACUUGGGCAAAGUUCAAAUCUUUCCUGAGUCACAUAGUAGACAAGCACACCAAUUUGGAUAAUCCACUGUUUUCAAGUUGUUUUCAUGGCCCUGAUGUUAAACCAAGGGAAUAUUUGUUAGAAAGUUUGUGAAGGCAUUAUUUAAAGAUAACUUCCCUAACAGUUUAUCAUCAUUCUUUGUUGUAAUGUUUAAGGUUCAGUUGCUCAUGAAAAGCUUAGUGCUAAAUUGUUAAACCCACAGCUGAUGAAGUCAAUUCACCAGGCUUCACCAGUUGCUCAAACAAGUUGUUUGGAAAUAUUCCUUUCUGUCCUGAAUCAUUUUGCUCCAAAAAUGAUUCAUUAUUCCUAUGUUGGAAUGUAUUGCAGGUGGGCGAAAAUUUCCAAUAUGACAAUAGUAUGUGGAUGAAUUAUUUCAGAGUGUGAUGCUGUCAAUAAAAGACAAAGACGCAUUAUCAAAUUCACAAAAUCUUUUGAAAGAAAUGUCCCCACCACCAAUGAAUGUCAUGCUGCAAAAGCAACCCAGAGCUGAGGUGUUACUAAAACAGGUCCGUUGAAAAUGCUUUGUGGUCAAUGAUGUCCCUCCCUCAAUUCCAGCAGCUACCAGUGUGCCAUUCAGCUGUCAGUCAAAAGUGGCAGUUUCAAAAGAAAAGAGUCAGCCAAAAUGUUUGACAUGCAAGAAGCCAAUGAAAGGUCACAAACAUGUGGCAGAUUGCCCAAAAAAUAGGAAAACUUAAUUUUCACAUCACUCAUUUAUUUCAUUUUUUUCGUACUCUCUAAAUUCCAACUUUUUAUCAUUAAAUUUUGAUCUUAUUGCAUGGUAUGCACAUGCUGGUAAUGGUCUUCUUUCUUCUCCUAAGCAUCCAUAAAUCAUAGAUGUAAAUUCUCUGUAUGCAACACAUCGUAAAAACCUGAAUAUAAAGCCAAAUCAUUACUAAUGUGUCAUAACACUAAAAUAUACUUAAAUACUGGGAAAUAACAUAAUAUGCUAUCAUA